rnacentral:rRNA from 1 species
UGCGCAGGCGGAAUAUUAAGUCAGUGGUGAAAUCCUGCAGCUUAACUGUAGAAUUGCCAUUGAUACUGAUCUUCUUGAAUUUAGUUGAGGUGGGCGGAAUGUGUAAUGUAGCGGUGAAAUGCUUAGAUAUUACACAGAACACCGAUUGCGAAGGCAGCUCACUAAACUAACAUUGACGCUAAGGUACGAAAGCGUGGGGAGCGAACAGGAUUAGAUACCCUGGUAGUCC